rnacentral:rRNA from 1 species
AAUGAACGCUGGCGGCGCGCCUAAUACAUGCAAGUCGAGCGAGAAGACGUAGCAAUACGUUUGUAAAGCGGCGAACGGGUGAGGAAUACAUGGGUAACCUACCCUAGAGUGGGGAAUAACUAGCCGAAAGGUUAGCUAAUACCGCGUACGCUCCUUGGACUUCGGUUCAGGGAGGAAAGCGAUGCCGAGGGUAUCGCGCUCUUGGAUGGGCUCAUGUCCUAUCAGCUUGUUGGNGAGGUAACGGCUCACCAAGGCUUCGACGGGUAGCUGGUCUGAGAGGACGAUCAGCCACACUGGCACUGCGACGCGGGCCAGACUCCUACGGGAGGCAGCAGUAAGGAAUAUUGCGCAAUGGGCGAAAGCCUGACGCAGCGACGCCGCGUGGGGGA